GUACACUCCUGCGGGAGGCAGCAGUGGGGAAUUUUGAACAAUGGGCGAAAGCCUGAUCCAGCAAUGCCGCGUGAGUGAAGAAGGCCUUCGGGUUGUAAAGCUCUUUUGUCAGGGAAGAAACGGUGAAAGCUAAUAUCUUUUGCUAAUGACGGUACCUGAAGAAUAAGCACCGGCUAACUACGUGCCAGCAGCCGCGGUAAUACGUAGGGUGCAAGCGUUAAUCGGAAUUACUGGGCGUAAAGCGUGCGCAGGCGGUUUUGUAAGUCUGAUGUGAAAUCCCCGGGCUCAACCUGGGAAUUGCAUUGGAGACUGCAAGGCUAGAAUCUGGCAGAGGGGGGUAGAAUUCCACGUGUAGCAGUGAAAUGCGUAGAUAUGUGGAGGAACACCGAUGGCGAAGGCAGCCCCCUGGGUCAAGAUUGACGCUCAUGCACGAAAGCGUGGGGAGCAAACAGGAUUAGAAACCCCAGUAGUCCC
rnacentral:rRNA from 1 species